CUUUUCUCCAGUAUGGACACGCUUGUGUCGUGUCAGAUGUGACUGUGUUGUAGAAGCAAAGUUGCACUCAUCACAUUUGAAUGGUUUCUCUCCUGUGUGUUGCCUUCGAUGCUUGGUGAGGGCAUGACGUGUCCCGCCGGCAAAGCCACAAAGGUCACAGAGGAACGACUUCUCGCCUGUGUGAGUCCUAAUGUGGUCCUUCAUCGCCGAAGCCGUGAGGAAGGAGUAGUGGCAGGUGGGCCAGGUGCACUUAAAUGGCUUCUCCCCGGUGUGCAGCUUCAUGUGGUUGUUCAGCGCCCACUUCUCCGUGAAGCUCCUGUCACACAGGUGACAUGUGAAUUUCCUUUCUUUGGGUGUGCCAACUCCAUGCUUGCCCAGUAAAUGAGUAUUCAAAUGCUUCUUCAUCACAAAAGCUACCCCACAGACAUGACACUUGUAUUCCCUCAUCCCAAGGUGCCUCUUGACAUGGUUUCUGGCAUCUCCGAGCUGAGCUGUUGCAAAGUGGCAUAUCUUGCACUUGAAUGGCUUUGAUCCUGUAUGGGUACGAAUGUGAGCUAGGAAGGCCAUGGAAUUGCUACUUCUACACAUCUUCCCACAAUACUUGCAGACGUUGCCUUGGUUCUCUUCCCUCUCUCUGUUUAUUUGCUCAGUGUCCUCCACAAUGUACUUAUUCACUUCCCGCAGCAGUUCUUCGUGCUGCUCUUUGAUAUGGAGAAACAAGUUCUGCUCUGAAUCAAAGGGCUCCGUGCACUUCACACAUUUGAAGGUUGCACCUCCUUCAGGCAGCUCCUCCACGCUUGCCUGCUCAUUGCGCAUGUGCCCAGCACUGGCCAAGUGCUGAUGAAGAUUGCUCUCUGUGUAAAAUGACUUUCCACAGAGUAAACAAUGAAAAUGUUUUUCUUUUGAAGGAUGUUUCAUGGCUAUGUGAACAUUUAGUCCGCUCAAACCAUCUGCUAGAAAGCCACAGUCAUCGCAGCGAAUACGUGUCAGUUCCCCAAGGGAAAUGCCUUCUGACUUCUUCUUUUUCCCACCACUUGGUGAAGCGUCUGCUUUCACUGCAAACUCACCAGUUCUCACUCCACCUGGCACCUGUCCUUCAUCUGAAUGGUCAAUGGGCUCUCCAUCUUGAUCGCUUUUUAAUCUUACUAUAGAAGAAUCAAACUUGCCAAAAUUUUGCAUUGCCUUUCGUUUAUCAUCAGUACUGGUAACUGUUCCUAAAGCCUCAUUACUACUUUCUUGCAUGCCCUCAGCUGUUGAGCCAUCUGCCUCCCAAAUACUGUUAUUUAUAGUUACUUCUGCUUCAUGUUGUGCUUCCAUAAGGGCUUCUUCCUCCUCCCCAGUAGGAUUCUUUUUGAAACUUCUGUCACCCUCUAAACUAUGCAUAUUUUGCACCAUCUCUCCAAUGUUUCCAGCAAAAUUUGAUUGCCAUGCUGCACUUUUCGUUUCUGGAAGACUUAGCAGAAGUGGGUUAUCUUCUUUCAGUGAUAUUUCUUCAAUAAUAUCUGUGUUUCUACCCUCCGCUUCAGGUUUUUCUCUAUUUGUGUCCAAGUUUUCCUUGCCUUUUCCUGAGUUCAAGUUUGUGCCACCUGAUCUAUUUUCAAUUUCUGCCAGGCAAUCACCUGAGUUGAGCAGCUCCUGACCAUGUCCACUUUUCUGCAACUCACAGGCACCUGCCUCUUUAAUUGGUAUCCCUUCAUCAGGCUCAUCAGCAUUAUCUUUCUGAGGAGCUCCCUGGAAUCCUUCACAUAAAAUGUUUUCUCCUCCAUUUUUAGUUUCCUCUUUAACUACACUUCCCACUGUAUUUUGGGAACUGCUUUCUUUAGGCAUUUCUGGAAAUGCAUUUUCAU
rnacentral:lncRNA from 1 species